rnacentral:rRNA from 1 species
UUACCGAGUUUACAACUCCCAAACCCCUGUGAACAUACCUUAAUGUUGCCUCGGCGGAUCAGCCCGCGCCCCGUAAAACGGGACGGCCCGCCAGAGGACCCAAACUCUAAUGUUUCUUAUUGUAACUUCUGAGUAAAACAAACAAAUAAAUCAAAACUUUCAACAACGGAUCUCUUGGUUCUGGCAUCGAUGAAGAACGCAGCAAAAUGCGAUAAGUAAUGUGAAUUGCAGAAUUCAGUGAAUCAUCGAAUCUUUGAACGCACAUUGCGCCCGCUGGUAUUCCGGCGGGCAUGCCUGUUCGAGCGUCAUUUCAACCCUCAAGCCCCCGGGUUUGGUGUUGGGGAUCGGCUCUGCCCUUCUGGGCGGUGCCGCCCCCGAAAUACAUUGGCGGUCUCGCUGCAGCCUCCAUUGCGUAGUAGCUAACACCUCGCAACUGGAACGCGGCGCGGCCAUGCCGUAAAACCCCAACUUCUGAAUGUUGACCUCGGAUCAGGUAGGAAUACCCGCUGAACUUAAGCAUAUCAA